GAAGAAAGAAACCACCCCUGGCUAAGCUGCUUCUGGAUGAUAUGAAAGUGAAGUUGCUGGGAGCUUUGCAGGGAACAGUAGAGAGGUCCUCCAGCUGAAGGAGAAUGUGUCUGCAGAGGCCGACCUUAGCUCAAUGCCUGCAACUGCGACCCCCUGACCAAGAGGCAGAUUUGAGAUCAGACUACCUAAAGGAGUUUACUCUGCAGUGUGGUGUUUCAAUGCAAUUACAUCACAGACACCGGCAGGUCAGGGCAAGCUCAGCUCCGGGAGCUGGAGAGGCUUCUCUUGGGUCUUCUACCUGCAGGACUGGGGCUGCAGAGGUGGGACUCACAUAUCUGCAAUGAGCAUGGACCUGGAGUAGAAAUAUACAGUCAUAAGUGAGGAAGUUCAGUAGUGCUAGCAGGCACAAAACGUAACAAAAAAUUGUUUCAUUCAGUGAAUUCCCCAGAGGUGCCUGGGAAAACAUCGAUCAGCUAUAAAAGAUCCAUUUACUCACAAAUACUGUUUAGAGUAAAACUCUGCUUUGAAGUUUUGGAGGCACUUUCGCAACUGAGGGGUUUGCCCUGCUGUCCUUGGCCAAAAAUAGUCACUUCUCUUAUUUUUGUCCUGCUAAUAUACGCCAGCUGGCUGCCACCCUCCAUUCCAGACACGGCUGCAUUUCACUUCUGCUGUUUAUGUAAAGUUUGUGCAGUGUGAU
rnacentral:lncRNA from 1 species